UGGUGGAGUGAUUUGUCUGGUUAAUUCCGUUAACGAACGAGACCUCGACCUACUAAAUAGUACGCAUGAUCCUAGAUCGUGUUUGACUUCUUAGAGGGACUCUUGGUGUGUAGCCAAUGGAAGUUCGAGGCAAUAACA
rnacentral:rRNA from 1 species